GAACGAGGAUAUAUCCUUCGGGAUAUAAGCCGAGUGGCACAAGGGUGAGCAAUGCAUAGAUUACCUACCUUUAGGAUAAGGGCAACUUUGUGAAAACGGAGCUAAUACUUAAUAAUACAAAAGAAAAUAAUUUUCUUUUGUCAAAGGGAGGGUAGCAAUACCUUUCGCCUAGAGAGGGGUUUAUGUCCUAUCAGCUUGUUGGUGGGGUAAUAGCCCACCAAGGCGAAGACGGGUAGCCGGUUUAAGAGGAUGGUCGGCCACACUGGGACUGAGACACUGCCCAGACUUCUACGGAAGGCUGCAGUCGAGAAUCUUUCGCAAUGCCCGAAAGGGUGACGAAGCGACGCCGCGUGGGUGAAGAAGGCCUUCGGGUUGUAAAGCCCUGUCAGGGGUUAUGAAAUGUAAGUGCGCUAAUAUCGUGCUUAUUUGACAAAGGCUCCAAAGGAAGCCACGGCUAACUCUGUGCCAGCAGCCGCGGUAAUACAGAGGUGGCGAGCGUUGUUCGGAAUUAUUGGGCGUAAAGAGCACGUAGGUGGGUUUGCAAGUCAGAUGUGAAAGCCUUCUGUUCAACGGAAGAAUUGCAUCUGAAACUGCUAAUCUUGAGUAUAGGAGGGGAGAAUGGAACUUCUGGUGGAGCGGUGAAAUGCGUAGAUAUCAGAAGGAACGCCGGCGGCGAAAGCGAUUCUCUGGCCUAUUACUGACACUCAGUGUGCGAAAGCUAGGGGAGCAAACGGGAUUAGAUACCCCGGUAGUCCUAGCCGUAAACGAUGGGCACUAAGUAGAGGGAAUUACCUAUAUUCUCUCUGCCGUAGCUAACGCAUUAAGUGCCCCGCCUGGGGAGUACGGCCGCAAGGCUAAAACUCAAAAGAAUUGACGGGGGCUCGCACAAGCGGUGGAGCAUGUGGCUUAAUUCGAUGCAACGCGAAAAACCUUACCGGGGCUUGACAUGAUAGAAGUAGGAACCUGAAAGGGGGACGAACGGUAUCCAGUCCGUAGCUAUUACAGGUGUUGCAUGGCUGUCGUCAGCUCGUGUCGUGAGACGUUGGGUUAAGUCCCCUAACGAGCGAAACCCUUGUUUUUAGUUACCAGCGGGUUAUGCCGGGUACUCUAGAAAGACUGCCGUCGUCAAGACGGAGGAAGGUGGGGAUGACGUCAAGUCAUCAUGGCCCUUAUGCCCCGGGCUGCACACGUGCUACAAUGGUCGGUACAGACGGAAGCGAAGCCGAGAGGUGAAGCGAAUCCUAAAAAGCCGAUCUCAGUUCGGAUUGGAGGCUGAAAUUCGCCUCCAUGAAGUUGGAAUCGCUAGUAAUCGCGGAUCAGCAAUGUCGCGGUGAAUAUGUUCCCGAGCCUUGUACACACCGCCCGUCAAGCCACCCAAGCAGGAUGCACCCGAAAACAUUAUAUCUAACCAGGGCAACUUGGAGGAAAAUGUUGAAGGAGUGUUUUGCGAGGAGGACU
rnacentral:rRNA from 1 species